AUGAGAGCAGCGACCGAUGCUGCAAGGAAUACUGUCUGCUUGUUAGGCAGCAAGUGGUUAGAACCCAAGGCCUUUGUGUUGUUCAUCAUGAACUCCAACUCUUCAGGUUUAGCUCUGGUUAUGCUUAGUCCUCUCAGUGCCCAUAUCACCAGCCUCAGAAACACAGGAAGCAGCGUGUUGCCUGCAAGAAUCUGGCCAGUGAGUAGCAGGAGGAGGCCCUGGUUUGAGGAAAACACCGCCAUGCUCUCGUUCGUCGGAAUCAGCCCUCCGUUGGUGAAAGAAGAGACAGUGAUUGAUAUGGAGAAAAGCAUGGUAUUGAUGCUUUUCCUUGUUAGCACAUCUCUUGCAGUUGAAACAUGUGCUACGUACAAGAACACCAAUAGAGAACCUACAAGAAGAAUCAAGACCAUGUAUGCCAACAGCACAAAUCCUAUGUAUUUGCGGCAACCCUUCUUGAGGCUAGUGGUAUUAGUUGAUGGUGUUACCGGGAUUGCCUCUUCUAUCUGCGACUCAUCUUGCACGAUGUCGAAAGGAAAAAUAUAUCGACAUAGCGAGGACUGUAGUUAG
rnacentral:rRNA from 1 species